UGGCUCAGGAUGAACGCUAGCGGCAGGCUAACACAUGCAAGGUCGAGGGGCAACGCGAGUAGCAAUACUUGGCGGCGACCGGCGCAAGGGUGCGUAACGCGUGAGCAACAUGCCCGUAUCAGGGGGAUAAUCCAGGGAAACUUGGUCUAAUACCCAUAGUAAUUUUGUAAGGCAUCUUAUAAGAUUUAAAGCUUUGGUGGAUACGGAUUGGCUCGCGUGACAUUAGCUGGAUGGUAAGGUAACGGCUUACCAUGGCUAUGAUGUCUAGGGGUUCUGAGAGGAAGGUCCCCCACACUGGAACUGAGACACGGUCCAGACUCCUACGGGAGGCAGCAGUGAGGAAUAUUGGACAAUGGAUGGAAAUCUGAUCCAGCCAUGCCGCGUGAAAAGGAAGAAGGUCCUAUGGAUUGUAAACUUCUUUUGUAUGGGAGCAAUAAGGCCUACGAGUAGGUUGAUGAGAGUACCAUACGAAUAAGCACCGGCUAACUCCGUGCCAGCCGCCGC
rnacentral:rRNA from 1 species